ACGAUGCCCCCGAGGAGCGAAACCACAAUGGUGACGGCAGACAUCACAGAUCCUACAAUACCCGUCUGGUAUUUGUUCCAACUGGGUGAAUGGCAGUAAAAGGUCCGAAGAGCUGUGAAUUACAAGAGCAUGGAGCAUGUACAGCUUUGAAAAGCCCCUGAAGACGAGGUGACGCACCCACCGAAUGUUGCACCUCGCUGUGAACCUCCGCCACGCUGCUACCCUGACACGCGACGACCGAAAGAACCAUGGAGCACCAGCAACCAUCAGUAGAAGCCUAUUGGGAGCUUGUCACCAGACACGCCAUCAGUGCUUAGACGUUGCAGAUGGCUCGAGGACGAGCCAAUUUGCGUGGCCAAGCGGUUGUCAACAAUAUGCUCUACUGGAUGGGUGUUGUGUUAUCAAUAAUACACUUCAGUCCUCCCAAGGUCGAAACGGAAGCUGUGCCUUCCUCUCUCAGUCCAGAGGAAACAGCUGUUCACACCUUCCUUGCCUGCUUAAGACUUUCUCAAUAUAAAAGGCUGCAUAAAUUGUAGGUUCUUGUUAUAAGAGUUUUAACACUGUUGAUUUUAUAAAUAUCUAUCCAUGCUGAUAAAAAAAAUGAAACCAGGACUAAACAUUACAGUGGCUCCCUUGUUUAGACAGUAACUGUCCAUCACCAUAAAACGCCUACUUUUGGUUAUUUUGGCAUAUGCGUUCCACAUUUAUGAUUUAUAUAUUUUGCAAAUAUAUGUGUGUACAGGUUAUGUAUUUUCCUCGUAUAUUUAGGGGUUUAUAUCACUGUACUUUCCAUUAUCCAAUUGCACGGUUUUAUAAAACCAGAACCUGGC